AUACGGAGGAUGCGAGCGUUAUCCGGAUUUAUUGGGUUUAAAGGGAGCGUAGGUGGGAUAUUAAGUCAGCUGUGAAAGUUUGGGGCUCAACCUUAAAAUUGCAGUUGAUACUGGUUUCCUUGAGUACGGUACAGGUGGGCGGAAUUCGUGGUGUAGCGGUGAAAUGCUUAGAUAUCACGAAGAACUCCGAUCGCGAAGGCAGCUCACCGGGCCGGAACUGACACUGAUGCUCGAAAGUGCGGGUAUCAAACAGGAUUAGAUACCCUUGUAGUCCGCACAGUAGACGAUGAAUACUCGCUGUUUGCGAUACACUGUAAGCGGCCAAGCGAAAGCGUUAAGUAUUCCACCUGGGGAGUACGCCGGCAACGGUGAAACUCAAAUGAAUUGACGGGG
rnacentral:rRNA from 1 species